UCACACCUGUAAGUGCAGCACUUUGGGAGGCCAGGGCAGGCAGAUCACUUGAGGUCAGGAGUUUGAGACCAGCCUGGCCAAUAUGGUGAAAUCCCAUCUCUACUAAAAAAUACAAAAAUUAGCCAGGUGUGGUGGUGCCCGUCUGUAAUCCCAGCUACUCUGGAGGCUGAGGCGGGAGAAUCACUUGAACCUGGGAGGCGGAGGUUGCAAUGAGCCGAGAUCACACCACUGCACUCCAGCCUGGGCGACACAGCAAGACUCCAUCUCAAAAAAGAGCUACUAUAAAAUAGUUAAAAAAAAAAAAGAAAAGAAAAGAAAAGGAAACCUCUCCAGGAAAUGGGGAAGAACACAAUGGAAAACUUCAGAAGAGGCACUGCCAAUGGGCCAGUCCACGAAGUGCAGCACACGGCGCCAGCAGGACAUGGCAGCACCCAUUCAACAGGCAGUAUGUCAGACGGGAGCAAAGCGUCCUCCCCUUCAUGGCUUCAGGAAUGUAACUUUGCUAUAACUUUGGGAAUAGAUCUCUCAAUAACUAUUGAAAUUUAAAUGUUAAAUAUGCAUACCCUUUGACCCACUAACACCAUUUAGCUCCCCUUCAUGGGAAUCUAGCCUGUAGAAAUGAAAGAAAGUGUCAGGACCCAUGCAUAGGAAUGUGUCUCUCAGUACAAACUGUGGCAAAAAAACAGACACAAAAUGAAAUCCAUCAAUGGGGAAUGGUUGACUAAAUAUGUUGUAUCCUCAGUACGGACUAUUAUGUAAACAUAAAAAGAAUAAAUUUUUGCCUGUAACCCAGCAUAAAUAAUAAUUUUUAAAAGUGCAUUAGUUUAGCAAAAACGUGACAGGGAUGUCAGUGAAACACCUUUGUGUUACAACUGUCAUUUUGUACACCUUGGACAAUUCCAUUCAACGAACAAUUUAGUUAGUUUUGAAGUCUCAAUAACAUAGUCAGAAAAGAAACUGCUGUAAUCUCCCCUUAUCCAUGGAUUCAGUAACCCUCGGUGAACUGCAGUUCAAAAACAUGUGCGUACAAUACAGUAAGAUAUUUUAGGAGAGAGACAUCACUUUCACAUGACUUUUAUUACAGUAUAUUGUUACGACUGUUCUAUUUUAUUAUUAGCUGUUAUUAAUCUCUUCCUGUGCCUAGUUUAUGAAUUAAACUUUAUCGUAGAUAUGGAAGGAUGCAUAACAAAACAGUGUAUAUAGUGUUCACUACUAUCCUUGAUUUCAGGCAUCCAUUGAGGGUGUUGGACCGUAUCCCCUGAAGAUAAGGUGGGGCGACUGCACGUGGAUUGAGAGGUGCCCUCACUGCUGCAGAGCUGUGGUAACAACACUCACUUGUGGUUCCCAGACAAGACUCUAUCUGGUCGUGAGCCCCCAACAGCCAGUGGUACUGCUGUCCAAUCUGACAGAUGGAAACCAGCGCCAAUCAGCCUGCCUGGAGCGGCACAAAUAAGCCUAAGACUCAAACUUUCAGCCAGUUAACUGUAAGUAAAC
rnacentral:lncRNA from 1 species